rnacentral:rRNA from 1 species
AUUGAACGCUGGCGGCAGGCCUAACACAUGCAAGUCGAGCGAGCGGCGGACGGGUGAGUAAUGUAUGGGGACUGCCCGAUAGAGGGGGAUAACUAAUGGAAACGGUAGCUAAUACCGCAUACUAUCGGAUAACCCAUAGGGGAUUAGCUAGUAGGUGGGUUAAUGGCGUACCUAGGCGACGAUCCCUAGCUGGUCUGAGAGGAUGAUAAGCAACACUGGUACUGGGACACGGCCCAGACGCCUACGGAGGCAGCAGUGGGGAAUAUUGCACAAUUGGCGCAAGCCUGAUGCAGCCAUGCCGCGUGUAUGAAGAAGGCCCUAGGGUUGUAAAGUACUUUCAGUUGGGAGGCGUUACCGACAGAAGAAGCACCGGCUAACGCCGUGCCAGCAGCCGCGGUAAUAC